CUAGUAUCGCGAGAUCAGGAAGGUGGCCGAGUGUGUCGCCGCGGCCAUCAGGCACUUCUCCUUCCUGCCCUUGUAUGAAGAAGGAUGUGUUUGCUUCCCCUUGUGCCAUGAUUGUAAAUUUCCUGAGGCCUCCUCAGCCCUGCAGAACUGGGGUUAUAGCCAUGUGACUGAUCUUCGUCCAAGAAUAUGUAAAGAAAAAGUGUUGAGUUGGCUUUUAGGGCUAGAGCAAUGUAUCUUAGGCUCACUUAAGGAAGCUGUAGAGAUGAGCCCAAGGAGGGAAACCAGAAGAGCCCCCCAGGCUCACCAGUUGUUUGUUGGCUCCCUACAAACAUGUCAUUCAAGUGGCUAAUCUUACAACAGCACAAAUUCAUCUAACCAGAAAGAGAAGAGGAGGCUCCAAAGGCACUUGACUACUGAGCAUCACCCUGGACGUGUACAAGUCUGCGUCCUUAUUGUUUUCUUCAUUGGGCCGAACUUUCUGGUCCUCAUCCAACAGCUCUUCUAUCACGUGUUCGAAAGUGUCAGCCAAUGAUGUCAAGCCUCUUGAACCUGCCUUGGGCCCAUUCACGCUCUCCAGAGUCCCAUGGGUCCGCACACCUGGGUAGGCCAAGCCACCUUGUCCUCGGAUGUUUGCUUCUUUCAUGGGGGCAGCCUUCAUGCAACCAAAGUAUGAAAUAACCAUAAGAUACUCUAUUAUAGCAAAGAAGAAAGAUAAUUUCAUUGAGCCAUCCUGUUUUACAGGAAAUUCUGCAAGUGGCAACGUGGGUCCAUUCCGUGUGUGUCACUAGAGCUGGCGCAAGCCCAUGGCCAUGGUGAGGCAGCGUUUCCACUGGAACUAAUCUGAUACCUGCACCAGCUCUUGCAACUGUGCAGUGUUCCCACUGCAAACUACGGAUGGGGUAAAAGACUGCUCACCUCCUAUUUCUCAUCUAAUCUCACACACUCUGUUUGAUGAGGCUAUGGAGAAACAGGUCUUCUCAUACACUAAAGGUGGGAGUACAAACAAUUCAAGCCCUGUGCAGGACAAUUAGGCAAUACCUAUCAAAAUUAUACAUGAUUUUUCCUGCUGACCCAGCAAUUCCACUUCUGGGAAUAAUUGACAGAUAUAGGUGCAUAUGUACAAAAUGAUGGAAAGCUCUCUGGUAUAUAUUAGUAAGUGAUAAAACAAGGUGUAAAAUAGUGUAUAUAUGGCUACUACCUUUUGUUUUAAAAAUGGGGGAAAAUGGUGGAGCUUGCGGUGAGCCGAGAUCGUGCCACUGCACUCCAGCCUGGGCGACAGAGCGAGACUCCGUCUCAAAAAAAAAACAGGGUGGGGUGGGGGGGAAAUAAUAGUACAUACUCAUAUUUACCUGUAUCUAUAUAAAACACACUAUCAAGGAUUCACAAGAAACUAAUACAAAUGAUCACCUUAUAGAUGGUAUGUAUUGGGGGAUACUGAGGUGAGCAGGGUAUAAGUGGGGCAAGACUUUUCAGUGUAAACUUCUUUUAAAUUUUAUUUUGAUUUUUGAAUAAUGUAAAUUAACUGUCAAAUAAUUAAAUUAAAAAUAACCAAUUUAUUAACAAAA
ensembl:lncRNA BDNF-AS BDNF antisense RNA